UAAGGUUAAGUUAAUAAGGGCGCACGGUGGAUGCCUUGGCACUAGAAGCCGAAGAAGGACGUGACAAACGACGAAAUGCUUUGGGGAGCUGUAAGUAAGCGCUGAUCCAGAGAUGUCCGAAUGGGGGAACCCACUAACUAAUGGUUAGUAUCCAUAACUGUUAAGGUUAUGAGAAGGAAGACGCAGUGAACUGAAACAUCUAAGUAGCUGCAGGAAGAGAAAGCAAACGCGAUUGCCUUAGUAGCGGCGAGCGAAACGGCAGGAGGGCAAACCGAAGUGUUUACACUUCGGGGUUGUAGGACUGCGACGUGGGACUUUAAAAGGAUAGAAGAAUUACCUGGGAAGGUAAGCCAAAGAGAGUAAAAGCCUCGUAUUUAAAAUUCUUUUGAGCCCUAGCAGUAUCCUGAGUACGGCGAGACACGUGAAAUCUCGUUGGAAUCUGGGAGGACCAUCUCCCAACCCUAAAUACUCUCUAGUGACCGAUAGUGAACCAGUACCGUGAGGGAAAGGUGAAAAGCACCCCGGGAGGGGAGUGAAAUAGAACCUGAAACCGUGUGCCUACAACAAGUUCGAGCCCGUUAAUGGGUGAGAGCGUGCCUUUUGUAGAAUGAACCGGCGAGUUACGAUAUGAUGCGAGGUUAAGUUGAAGAGACGGAGCCGUAGGGAAACCGAGUCUUAAUAGGGCGAUUUAGUAUCAUGUUGUAGACCCGAAACCAUGUGACCUACCCAUGAGCAGGUUGAAGGUGAGGUAAAACUCACUGGAGGACCGAACCAGGGCACGUUGAAAAGUGCUUGGAUGACUUGUGGGUAGCGGAGAAAUUCCAAACGAACUUGGAGAUAGCUGGUUCUCUCCGAAAUAGCUUUAGGGCUAGCGUCGAUGUUAAGUCUCUUGGAGGUAGAGCACUGUUUGGGUGAGGGGUCCAUCUCGGAUUACCAAUCUCAGAUAAACUCCGAAUGCCAACGAGAUAUCAUCGGCAGUCAGACUGCGAGUGCUAAGAUCCGUAGUCGAAAGGGAAACAGCCCAGACCACCAGCUAAGGUCCCAAAAUAACUGUUAAGUGGAAAAGGAUGUGGGGUUGCACAGACAACUAGGAUGUUAGCUUAGAAGCAGCUAU
rnacentral:rRNA from 1 species